UACGUAGGUGUCAAGCGUUGUCCGGAUUUACUGGGCGUAAAGGGCGCGUAGGCGGCCACCGCAAGUCGGUUGUGAAAUCUCUGGGCUUAACCCAGAAAGGUCAACCGAUACUGCGGGGCUAGAGUGCAGAAGGGGCAACUGGAAUUCUCGGUGUAGCGGUGAAAUGCGUAGAUAUCGAGAGGAACACCAGUGGCGAAGGCGGCUCGCUGGACCGGUUCUGACGCUGAAGCGCGAAAGCGUGGGGAGCAAACGGG
rnacentral:rRNA from 1 species